AUUGAGGUUCAGAAAGGUUAAGUCACUUGCAGGAGAUCACAUAGAAUUAGGAGCACAGUUGGACUUGUUGCAUAGCUUUUCAGCUGUUCUUUCUCCCAGACUGGAGUCUUUUACCCCAAAGACCUUACAAUGGGAGCAUCAGGGUCACCCGUAUGAGUCUCUUCCCAUCCCUCUCCAAUGGUGUAUAGUGGACUGGGCUUGGAGAUCAUCUAAUACGACUCAUCCUCACCCAUGUUUCCAACUAGGAACCUGUGAGGGGAGGGGCAGGACUGAUGUGAAGGUGCCUUCUUGGCAGAGUUUGAGGGCUGAAGAGGCGGUGGUUUGUGAGUACCCUCUUUCCCUCCAGGAAGCUGGCAGCAGUACCAAGCAGCAAGCAUCUGCACACUAGAACUCCUGGCUGCCAUGUGCCAGCCUGGCCCACCCCAACAGCUGCCCCAGGGACAGCAGGGUGGCAUCGGGGCAAAACCAGGUAAAGCCAUUCCCAUCCCAGACACCAUCUCUAUGACCUGAUGGCCUCCAAGAACUACAUUCUGAUGGAUAUAGGCACAAAUCUUCAGGAUUCCAGGCCUGUAUUGAGAUCAGCGGUCUGUGCGUGUUUCUCUGGGCUACUUUCUGUGAAACUUUCCAUUUCCUUCAGCUGCCUUCCCAUGUUGGAGCAUGUUGACUUCUAGAACCCCAUGGGGUUCAUGGUAGCACGUCCCCAUUGGGCUGAGGAGGAACUUCGACUAAGUUUAUUGAAGGCUUUCUAUUGUUCUAAGGGACAACUCUGCCCUGUAGGGUUAUUGUUAGCCUUGUCUUAUGGAGGAGGAAGCAGGAGCUAAGUCACUUGCUCAGUGUUACAGAGCUAAUAAACAGCAGAGAUUUGACCCCAAGCAUUCUGGCUACAAGAGCCUGGCUCUUAGUUCUUGCACUCAAGUUCUCAC
rnacentral:lncRNA from 1 species